GGUGCCGACGGGGCGCAUAUUGCGCGCGCGCAUCCACCUGCGAGGGCCGGUUGCGUGUUUUAUGAAUGGACGCAGAGGGGAACCCCCAGGGCUGCGCUGAUCGAUAUCGCUCCCUCCACGCGCGCGCACGCACGCGAGAUGGAGGUGGAACCACGCACACGCCGAAACGGAGCAGGCGAAAGAAACGCAAUCGCCCUCGUGCCAAAUGCAACGCGUUUUGCGCUUCUCGACAGUUAGUUCCAAAGACACACGGGUCGCGUGCCGUCUGCCAGUCAAGACCACGCCCGAAACAAACUCAGUCGCGUGCUCUCCCCCGGGCAGGUUGCCUGCACGUGCAGCGGCUUUUGCUGGGGACUGGCAUUUUUCGGUCCGUGAAAAAUAUCUGGACUAAUGAAGAGGCGCAGAAAGGCUCCAGGGGUCACCCAGUCACGUGCACUCCAUCGCAGAGGUCGGCGCUCGGGGGGAGAAGACUACAUUUCCCAUAAUCCCCCGUUUCCUCCAGGGAUCUGCAAAACUGCUUCAAUUUCCACAGAGGUGCGAACCCCUCAUCCCACCCUCAGGGGGCGCUGUUGCGCCCACCUACGCAGGACCAGCUCCAUCCCAGAGACCACAGGCAAGCGGGUGUUGAGAAAUGCGGCUGGGGCCACCGCCCGGAGGAAAGGUGGAAAAACACGUCAGAUCAAAAAGAAACCAAAAAAACUUUAAAAAUGAUGAUUGGGGGGAGAAUCUCUUCAGUUCAAACAGGCCUGUAGAGGGGAGAUGUGGAGCUCAGAAAAAGAAGGAUGAGUUUAAUCUUCAGAGAGGUGAUGGGGUGUGUGUGUGUGUGUUUGAGUGUGUGAAGGCUGAAUGAGAGGUUAAGCCUUUUGGCUUCAUGUUAAGGCACCAGACAAAAAAAAAAAAAAAAA